GUGGCAGCCGCCGCGGUAAUACGGAGGGUGCAAGCGUUAUCCGGAUUCAUUGGGUUUAAAGGGUGCGCAGGCGGAUACUUAAGUCAGUGGUGAAAUCCCGGGGCUCAACCCCGGAACUGCCAUUGAUACUGAAUAUCUGGAAUACGGUUGAAGUGGGCGGAAUGUAGCAUGUAGCGGUGAAAUGCAUAGAGAUGCUACAGAACACCGAUCGCGAAGGCAGCUCACUAAGCCGAUAUUGACGCUCAGGCACGAAAGCGUGGGGAGCGAACAGGAUUAGAUACCCUGGUAGUCCACGCCGUAAACGAUGAUAACUCGUUGUUGGCGACACACAGUCAGCGACUAAGCGAAAGCGAUAAGUUAUCCACCUGGGGAGUACGAUCGCAAGGUUGAAACUCAAAGGUAUAGUACGGACGUGUAGACGUACGCGAACGACGACAACACGGGAGGUAGUAG
rnacentral:rRNA from 1 species